GGAAAAAAAUAAUAAUAAUAGAAAUAUUCGAGUAAACGUGUUUGAUAUACCACGUAUAGGUUUCCAAACGUGUAGGUUUCUAACAUUAGCGUGGCGUGCAUAUAAUCAACGUAAGUGUUGUUUACACUUUCAGUUAUAGAAUAUUAUUAUAGGUAAAUUUUUAAACAAACAAUUUAAGUCAUAAUCAAGUUCAAAUAAUGUAAAAUUAUCUAUUGCGUUUUGAAAUAGUAUAAGGAAAUGACAUAUAAAUACCUUUCAAAUAUGAUUUAAAUCGUUUUCGAUAAUAUGCAUGUUAAAUAAAUGGCUCGUUUGAGGUAGGUAGUAAAAUUAUAUGGAGAGUAUAAUAAGUAAGUAUACAAUUAUUGGUGAUCGCUUACAUCACUGAUUACAUAACGACACGCCACUGGUUUCUAAACUUAAAACAUUUAAAAAUAUACAUAUCAUUAAACGAUAUCACGAUCAAUUUUGUUUUAUCCAUCAGUAAUUAUUGUCAGUUUCAGUAACAAAAUCCGAAUUCUUUAAGAAAGCUUUGUCAGUGAAAUUUUUUAUCGGAACAAGUCAGUUUAACCGGAAAACUUUUUUAACAGUCAUAAAAACAGAAAAUAUCACACCCAUGCACAUCAUGGUAAAGCCGCACAAAAAAACAUAAAAAGCCAGAAUAUUGUGGAUGUUUUUUCCAUCGUUGAUCCUUAACUUCUUCUAAGGGACAGACAAUUUUCAUGAGUAGAUCUCACUGUUUUAGGUGGAAAUUUUAGGAAGGUAAGAUAUAUACAUAGGACUCAUAGAUUGUAUACGCAAUAAUAAAUCUUUAUUUACAAAAAACGAUUUUGAGCGAGUUAAUCAUAGUUUGAACAACUUAAAUUG